GGCCGGAUAAGGUAUUCACGCCGCAUCCGGCACAAAUGCCUGAUGCGACGCUUGCGCGUCUUAUCAGGCC
rnacentral:ncRNA from 1 species